rnacentral:rRNA from 1 species
ACUACGGGUGGCUGCAGUGAGGAAUAUUGGUCAAUGGGCGAGAGCCUGAACCAGCACAGUCGCUUGCGUUCCUCCUUUCCUCUUUCUUUUCCCCCUCUUUUUUCUUUUCUCACAAAGGCCUCGUGAGGCCACAAGUGAGAGUACCCGAAGAAAAAGCAUCGGCUAACUCCGUGCCAGCAGUCUCGGUAAUACGGAGUAUGCUAGCGUUAUCCGGAUUUAUUGGGUUUAAAGGGUGCGUAGGCGGACUGGAAAGUCAGCGGUAAAAUCGAGAGGCUCAACCUCUUUCCGCCGUUGAAAAUGUCGGUCUUGAGUGGGCGAGAGGUAUGCGGAAUGCGUGGUGUAGCGGUGAAAUGCAUAGAUAUCACGCAGAACUCCGAUUGCGAAGGCAGCAUACCGGCGCCCGACUGACGCUGAGGCACGAAAGCGUGGGUAUCGAACAGGAUUAGAGAAAAGGGUAGUC